CUCCCCUCAUGGCUUACUCUUCUGUCUCCAAAUACAGUCUUUUGAUGGAGAGAAGUUCCUAAAUUUAAUUUAGCCAGAUUGGUUAAUUUUGUCCUUAGUGAUGAAUGGUAUUUUCAUCCUUUUUAAGAGAUCUUUGCCUCUCCAAAGUUAGGAAGGUAUUUUUUUUUUCCCAUAUUAUUUUUGGAAAGUUUCCUAUUGUACCUUUCACAUUUAGAUCUAUGUUCAAUCUGGAAUUGGUUUUUGUGUAUGGUGUAAGUUAGAGGUCCAGAGCCAUAUUGUUUCCCCUACAAAUAUCUCUUUGACCAGCACCGUUUUCGCCUCUAUUAUUUGGCCACACUGCCACAUGCAGGAUCUUAGUUCCCUGACCAGCAAAGAAGCAUGGGGCCCUAACCACUGGACCUCCAGGGGAAGUCCCUGAUCAGCACUGGUUUAAAAAACACUUUCCUUGACUUGCUUCUCUGUGGUAUCAUCUUUGUCAAAAUUCAAUUGUCCAAAUAUGUGUGGGUCUGUAUCUGGAUUCUUCCUUUCGAAUGCCCUGAGUCUACCAUUCCACCAGUAGUGUGUGCUUAGUUGCUCAGUCGUGUCUGACUCUUUGCAACCCCAUGGACUGUGGCCUGCCAGGCUCCUCUGUCCACGGGGAUUCUCCAGGCAAGAAUACUGGAGUGGGUUGCAUGCCCUCCUCCAGGGGAUCUUCCCAACCCAGAGACCGAACCCAGGUCUCCCGCAUUGCAGGUGGAUUCUUUACCGUCUGAGCCACCAGGGACACUCUCAAUAACUGUAGUUUUAAAUACAUCUUGAUAUCUAGUGAUGUGAAACUUCAUCAAGGAAAACUCUAUUUUUCUCCUCCACUCUCAGUAUUUCUGAAACUGGAUGUAUAGGGGUUUUUCCACACCAUAGGUUUCUGCAUUUCAGCAGGCACCAACUGGGUGUCCUACAGGUUUAACUUAAUUCUGACACUAUCUGCCUGGGGAUAGCAUCAGACCCCACAGUUUAAGAGCUCAGUGCUUCAAGGCUGCCCCCUCUUCAGACCCUGAACCUGAGUCCCACUGAAACCCAGUUCCCUUACCACGUUGAUGAUUAAUCUCUCUAUUCAAAACUUAAUUCCCUUUCUUGUCCCCUCUGACCUCAGUCCUGUGCUAACUGAACACUCACCAACCAGAGUCAGAUGACUAAAAUUGCUGUUGUUGAUAACACUGAUGUCCUAAGGUUGCUACCAUAGGUACAUCAUUAAGGUCUAAGUCACGCUGUUUCUCCAGGGCAAAGUGAGCCAACAGGCCUCGAGCCAUGGACAACCUGGCUGAAGAAUCCUAAACUAGAGACCUCCCGAAUCCCCAAACUAUAGUCACAGAAGUGUCACUGAUGACAGAGUAAUCCCAGCCUCCUUGUUCUUCCCUUCAAAACACCCCACGCUCAGAGACCAAAUGGAGAGGACUCGAGACUUGUCUCCCACUUCCUUGCUGGGUGUAUGGCCAUAAAACCCUUACUUUGCUGCAAACACCCACUGUCAGAAUUUGGCUUUCUGUGACCUCAGACACAUGAGUCCUUGCUUGUAACAACAUCAGGCACAGGUCCAGGUUGUUAUCUGUAUUUCUGACAGGCCAGCAUUAAAUUGGGGUUCCCAUGAUCCCCUCCUUGGGUUUGAAAGGUUGCUAGAAUGGCUGAAAAAGCUCAGGCUAGUCACAAAAUCACUGAUUAGACACAUAUUUGUUGAGUACCUGCAACAUGGAAUACACUAGAGAACCCAAAGAUGGAAAGAAAUAAUGAGUAUCUUCAAGAGGUUACUGGUCUUGUGGGGCAUCAAUAAAAAUGAAGAUCGAACGUAAUAAGGACUGUGGAGACUCCAAGUUCAUCUGUGAGUUUUGGGGAAGGCUCCACAGAGGAGUGGGCUGUAGAAGGUGGUCUCAAUGGACGUGGGAGAAGCAGGUGUUCCAAGAAGUGAGAGUAUAUGCCAAAGUCUGGAGAUAUAGGAGCCCAUGGCAUGUUAUGGGAACUCUAAGUAAUUCCACAUGGUUGGGAAACCAGAAAUCCCAGAUGGCACAAGACAGACCAAUUUUUUUCUGUUCUCCCAGAAAACUUACUAAUAUGUCCUCAGCCUCAGAAGUGUCCCAGAUUGGAUGAUUAAUUACAUGGUUACUCUAGCUAUGCUGGGGGUAUAAUGUCUGAGAGUGAGGUAGAGAUGUGGGAGCUGAAGGUAGAGAGAGGGCAGGGGCUCUCUCCCCAGGGGCCUUGUGGGCCAAGUUCAAGAAGAGCAUUCAGGUGACUGGGCCUUGUAUGGUACCUUCCCUCAGAGGUCAUCCUCUCCAGGUAUAUAAUUUAAUUCACAGACAGAUCAGUACAUCUACUGACAGAUGUUUAUUGCUGUGGAUUACCAUCUUUUUCAUGAAAUUUUUUGAUGUGGACUGCUUUUAAAGUCUUUAUUGAAUUUGUUAUAAUAUUGCUUCUGUUAUAUGUUUCUUGGCUUUUUGGCCACGGGGCAUGUGGGAUUGUAGUUCCCCAACCAGGGAUCGAAACUGCAUCCCCUCCACUGGAAGGCAAAGUCUUAACCGCUGACCCGCCAGGGAAGCCCCCUAUGGAUUACCACUUAUGGGCGACUUAGGUAAGAACUUUCCAAAUAGUCUGGGGUGUGGCCCAGGCAAUCUCUGCUGACCCUUGUUCAUGCAUUUUCUGCAGUGGAUUCUCUGACACUUAGCCUUGGUUUUGACUUGUUGUGGUUGUGAGGUUGUGUUCAGAGAUGGCACUGGGCAAUCCCCUCUGGUCUCAAAUGCCCCUAGUCUCAAAUGGCAGACUAGGCACCAGGCUUUUGCAUUUAUCUCAGCAAAGAGUAAAGACAGUUGGUUCUAGAAUUUGAACAAGGGCACAAGCUCAGGACUCUUGGAAAGUGAGAUAAACUGACUAAAAAGAGCUUCCCAGAACUACAGUCCACGCUGUGCCCUGACCAGCAUCCUGCCAUGUGUGACCUCAGGUCAACAGUCCCAGGGGACAAGUCAUGUUCAUAGCUCAAGACAAACUAAUCCAUGUCUAGAGGGCUAUACCUUUAACCUGUCAGACCAGGAUGGGUACCUCCCCUUUAACCACAGGAUUCUUUCUGAUCUGAUCAUUUCCCACAAAACAGAGUGGGUUUCAGCAGUAACCAAUAGAGUAGCUACAUUCACGCUGCAGCUAUUUCUAUCAACGCUCGUGUGGUAUGCUGAAUUGUGCCCCCCAAUAAUUCAUAUGUUGAAGUCCUCACUGUCAGCACCACAGAAUGGAACAUUCUUUGGAAAAGGGGUCAUCAUACAUGUAGUUCGUUAAGAUGAGGUCAAACUAGAGGAGGAUGAGACCUUCAUCCAAUAUAACUGGUGUACUUAUAAAAAGGGGAAGUGUGCACACAGACAUCACACAGAGAGACAGCACACAGAGACAAAGGCAGAGAUGGGGACGAGGCUUUUACAAGUUAAAGAACACUAAGGACUGCCAGAAAACUGCCCUCCUAGGGCAGAGGCUUGGGGCCCAUUCUCUGUUGCUACUGCCCUUGGAAGGAACCAGUCCUGCCAACACCUGGAUCUCAGGUUUCUAGUCUUCAGAACAGUAAGACAACAAAUGUCUGCUGUUCAAGCUACCCUGUUCAUCGUCCUUUGUUACAGCAGUCCUAGCAAAUUCAUACACCUAGAUUCCCAUGCUUCAGUAGGUUGAAAAAGGACUCAUGGGAAGGACAGGAUGACACAGCCAUUCCUACUUGCCUUAUGUCCCCUCUGAGUGUCCCAGUGUCAGAGCAGUGACUGGGGUUCCAAAAUCUCCAGAAACCCUGGGGUCCACUGCUGACUCGCCUCCUGGUGGGCAAAGCAGCCUGAAGCUAGUCCUUGUGGAUCUGCUUGAGGGGACUGUGACACUCAGUUUUGAGGCGCAAACCAUCAUCUGCCACUUAGGGACAGAUGUUGCAAGGGUCACUGCACAGGAAACCACUCACUCAGACAUAUCUCAAAUACACGCUCUGACUCUCCGCUUCUCACAUAAGUCAAGCAUUCGAAAUGUACAAACCAUUCCACUGACUGCCCAAACAGCUAAUGAAACAAUCCCUCAUUAUUGCAUCUUCUUAGACCCAAUUAAAAACUUGUUUCAUUCAAAUAUUCUUUAAGUCCCUAUAAUAUACAAAUCAUUUCAGUCCUUUAAAGCAAGUUGUUUAUAGCUAUAAGCCUGCUUCUGACACUCGCUACAUCCGUCUGGGGAAGUCUUAUAAAGUCUCAAGCUGAUCACUCUGCAACUACAAAUUUCUCUUCUCUGUCUUGGGAGAGAAAGAUGGAAUUAACAAAGAGGGGUGAUUCAGCAAGUGACAUCAUGGUCACAAGAUAGAUUUUGCAAAUGACAACAGGAACACAAUGUGGUCCCACAAUAUUUUUGUGCUUUCUCUCGAGAAAUUAUGCUGGCUUGCUGUUUCCUGUUGCUAACUAAGGCAAAAGAGUCUUCGCAAGUUGCAUUCACCUCAUAUUCUACUUAAAACGGCAGCAUCCACGACCACCUACUCGUCCGCUACACUUUCUGUUUCCCAUACUUGGCUUUACUUCUGUUUUCCAUAGCCCUUGGCACCUUCUAACUUGCCAUAUAGUUAGUUGUUCUGUUUGUCUCCUUCCACAUGAAUGCAAGCUGCAUGUUGGCACAGAUCUUUAUUUUGCUCAGUGAUUCAUCCCCCACUCAGGAUAUUGCAACAUAACAUUUAAAUAGUUGAAUGGAUGAAUGAAUGAGCCUGAGGUCUGCUCCCCAAAGUAGUCACUCUCCCAUUUACAUGCUUGGGACCCUGAAGGCAUGUGUAUUUGUACCCCUGCCCUACACAUCUGCCCCUACUGACCUGUACAGCCUCUCCCUCCCCUCCCCCUGACCCUGGCCACACUUGCUGGCCCUCCUACACUGGCCACUGGGCCUUGGCACACACAGUGCCCUCAGCCAGAACAUUCUUCUUGCAUCACUCUGCCUGGUUAACUCCUGCUCAUCCCGCCCUCUCAGCUCAUGCUAUCCUUGAUCCCGCUGCCUGCGUCCAUUCCCCCAAGCACGGAACAUGGAGAACUGCCCUUAGUUUAAAAACAAACAAGCAAACAAAUAGCAACAUGGGGAAAUUUCUUUGACCUUGUAAGACAUAAAAUGUUUUUCAUCUGCUUGCAGAGAUGGAUGCCCUCUCCUUCCACUCUGACCUUGAGCUCUGGGUGCAGGUACUGCCCAGCAGUCCCAAGCCGGCUCCUCUGUGUGAGUCAGCCCUGGAAACAGGUUCUACAGGGCCAGGCAAGGAGUAACC
ensembl:lncRNA